ACCCCAGACUCCUACGGGAGGCAGCAGUGGGGAAUAUUGCACAAUGGGGGAAACCCUGAUGCAGCGACGCCGCGUGAGUGAAGAAGUAUUUCGGUAUGUAAAGCUCUAUCAGCAGGGAAGAAAAUGACGGUACCUGACUAAGAAGCCCCGGCUAACUACGUGCCAGCAGCCGCGGUAAUACGUAGGGGGCAAGCGUUAUCCGGAUUUACUGGGUGUAAAGGGAGCGUAGACGGCAUGGCAAGUCAGAUGUGAAAGCCCGGGGCUCAACCCCGGGACUGCAUUUGAAACUGUCAGGCUGGAGUGCAGGAGAGGUAAGUGGAAUUCCUAGUGUAGCGGUGAAAUGCGUAGAUAUUAGGAGGAACACCAGUGGCGAAGGCGGCCUGCUGGGCUUUAACUGACGCUGAGGCUCGAAAGCGUGGGGAGCAAACAGGAUUAGAUACCCGAGUA
rnacentral:rRNA from 1 species